CUAUUUAUUCUUCUUCUUGGCCAACACUCCAAUUACUUCCUUCCGAAGCCAUUUCUGAUCAAAGCUUCAAAUUGGAGAGUUUUUUUUUCAGUUUCCGAUCCACCACCACCAGGGCUAUAAUGUCUGGUCUCCGCCGUCUGCGUUUUACGGAAUGCGUCUCGGCCGAAGAUUUCGAUAACCAGAGUGCAGUCACCACGGCCGGCGAUUAAGCUACUCCAAAUAUGGUCCCUUAAUCCUGUCCCGGAUGGGGAAGCAGGCCUGAAAUACACGUUGAAAAAUGAAAAUAAUCAUUCGGACGAUAUCACCGUGUCGUGCUUCAGAAGCUUUGAUGGCUCACUGAAGGUUUGGGAUUUGCGCCAAAUGUAAAAACCUCUCAAGGUGUAUGAUAGUCUCCCAUUAACUAUAUCCAAACAAAUAGUCCUGAUGAGCAACUCUUUCUGGCUCGAACAUCGGUUGAGAAAGAGAGCAAAACGGGUGGGAAUAUCCCAAAGUUGAACCAGAGUUGGAUUCUGUCCGUCUAAGAAGCAUGGAUAACAGAAAUGACACGAGACAGACAUGGAACAAAAACAAAAAACUCCUUCCAGAUAUAUGGCAAAGUUAGAUUUUGACAAAUACCUUCUUCAUUUAACAGCUGCCUGUAAGAUUCAAUUGAAAGCAUUGGCUGAAGAAAUGCAAGCAGUGAGUAUAUAGGUCCUGAUAAACUGGAGCAAGAGCUAACUGCUUCAGAAACGUCCAUAUUAGUUUCAACCUAUCAGAGUUGCUGAAAGCCAGCUUUCCUUCUCACAGGCAAUCCUCCCUUGAGACAGGUCUAACACUCUACACUAUUCAGAUAUGUUGUUACUUGUGAUUGACCUCUCAGAUGGCCUUUUCAUGUUCAUACAAAGGAAUAUUUGGAUUGUGUUAUGCUUAGAGAUGAAAUAGAAAUAUCGGCUGAUAUGCUUUCCGCAGGCAACAAUUUGGUGGGCUGGGCUCAUGAGAGGUGCUAUGCAGUUGGCAUUUGCUUUAUAAUCAGGCAGGUCAGGAUGAAUUGAUAGCUCUCGAGAAGGCACUAAAGGAUAGAAGACCAUGAUUCCUGCGGAACUGCAAGAGAGGUGGAACUUAAGCUUUGAUAAUCAGGGGUACUCUGCUACUGAGAUGGAUAGGCUUAUCCCAAUUGCCAUAUUUAUGGUCAAAUUUGAUAAGGAGCUAAACGAGGAAGAUUACUUAUCAAUUACAUUAUCGAUAUGAUGGAGGUGGAGCAACUCAAGUUUGGCUGGGCUCUGGCAGGAAUCCAACUUCUAAGGACGAAUAGAACGUGGUAGAUUAUGUUGCCACACAGAUAUAUUUCCUUCAAUCAUCCAGAUCAAGGGUUUUUUCACAAUUCAGUGGCCAAAACCUAGUUUUGAUCCUCAUUUGCAGACCUUGGUAAGCUCUCAAACUUCUAAUUGAUUUUGCAUGUAUGGAAAUUUUACAGAAUUUAUGUUUUAGAAG